AGUGAACGCUGGCGGUAGGCCUAACACAUGCAAGUCGAACGGCAGCACAGAGGAGCUUGCUCCUUGGGUGGCGAGUGGCGGACGGGUGAGGAAUACAUCGGAAUCUACUCUGUCGUGGGGGAUAACGUAGGGAAACUUACGCUAAUACCGCAUACGACCUACGGGUGAAAGCAGGGGAUCUUCGGACCUUGCGCGAUUGAAUGAGCCGAUGUCGGAUUAACUAGUUGGCGGGGUAAAGGCCCACCAAGGCGACGAUCCGUAGCUGGUCUGAGAGGGUGAUCAGCCACACUGGAACUGAGACACGGUCCAGACUCCUACGGGAGGCAGCAGUGGGGAAUAUUGGACAAUGGGCGCAAGCCUGAUCCAGCCAUACCGCGUGGGUGAAGAAGGCCUUCGGGUUGUAAAGCCCUUUUGUUGGGAAAGAAAUCCAUCUGGUUAAUACCCGGGUGGGAUGACGGUACCCAAAGAAUAAGCACCGGCUAACUUCGUGCCAGCAGCCGCAGUAA
rnacentral:rRNA from 1 species